ACCUCUUACCACAUGGUGGCGCUUUGUAUCAGGUCACCGCCAGUGAGCAUAAACACUCACACUGAUAGACCGAGCCGAGAGCAACACACCAGUUGAGCUAAUUAGACUGAGAGAGAGAAUCUUAUGAGCCUUGAGAGGAAGAGAGGAGCUGCUUCGACCACAUAUAAGCCCUCUGAACUCCGCUAAGAGUUGGGCUACGUGCUAGCAUGUUAAGAUGCUGGGCUUCGCUUAUUAGCUUGUAGGAGUGAGGAUGUUAUUUGCUGAGGCAGUUUCAUAAAACCAGUCGGAGUUAUUAUCCAAUGUUUGACCCACCGUGGUACUGUGUAUCAUUGUGCUUUAUGAAAAAUAACUGAAAAGAUGGCUAUUUACAGUGCUAACGCUAAUCGCGGGUAGCUUGCUAUGCUAGCACAGGUAGCCUACAAUGCUACUGUGUCAUUAGACACAGAGAGAGAUACAAUUUGAUGGUAAGAUGCAAGAACAUUGUUCUUAUGUACUGUUUUUGUGUACAUAAUGUGAUUUAUUUCAUUGUGGUUAUUCAAAUACUCAUAAUGAUUAAAAAGAGUGAAUGAUAAAAUGUAUUCAUGGUUAAAAAGGUUAAAAGACAUAAAGUGUUCUAGUUAAAAAAGAUAAAUAUUGAUUCAAAAGCUGGUUAUUGAUACAAAUACUGCUUUAAAAGACUGUGAAGUCCAUUUGUGUUACGGAUAUAAGUUCUUAAUGUAUAAUUGUGUUGAAGUAACACUAAAGUUUUGUACGCUAUCAUUUACAAUGAUUUGGUUAAGAAAAUGCAGAGAAUCAGAGUAAGAGUAGUGAUGAAUAUAGUACUAAUAGAAAUUAGUUUCUGCACCAUGUGUGUAGAUUGGUUUUAUAUUUCUGCUGGAUCAGGAAUUGAUCUACAGGAAGAAUUCUGAGCCUUCCAUGUUUCAGUGGCGACAGGAAAGGAGAACGGGAUCAACUUCACAAGAACUGCAGACAUCUUCCUACUUCUCUGAUACAGAUAAGCGCGCUCAAUACGAACUAAAACCUACCCGGGUAGUAGAAGAGUAAAUGAACAGACAACACAUACACCACACAGAACAAAGCUUUUCUUCUGGCAUCGAAGAAAAGGACACUUUUAUUUUAACUUUUCUAUUAUAUUUUUGUUUAUCAAAGAGCUCUAUUUUGUUGGUAUUGUUUUAAUUCUUUGUAUUAAAAGAAAUAAUACUUGUUGAAUGCAAUAAAUGAUCAUUGUUCAA